rnacentral:rRNA from 1 species
AUGUUUAGUCAAAAGGGCUGUCUCAAAGAUUAAGCCAUGCAUGUCUAAGUAUAAGCAAUUAUACAGCGAAACUGCGAAUGGCUCAUUAUAUAAGUUAUCGUUUAUUUGAUAGUACCUUACCUACAUGGAUAACCGUGGUAAUUCUAGAGCUAACACAUGCUAAAAAUCCCAACUUCGGAAGGGAUGUAUUUAUUAGAUUAAAAACCAAUGCCCUCUGGGCUCUCUGGUGAUUCAUGAUAACUCUUCGAAUCGCAUGGCCUUGCGCUGGCCAUGGUUCAUUCAAAUUUCUUCCCUAUCAACUUUCGAUGUUUGGGUAUUGGCCAAACAUGGUUGCAACGGGUAACGGAGGGUUAGGGUUCAAUCCCGGAAAGGGACCCUGAGAAACGGCUACUACAUCCAAGGAAGGCAGCAGGCGCGCAAAUUACCCAAUCCCGACACGGGGAGGUAGUGACAAUAAAUACUGAUACAGGGCUCUUUCGGGUCUUGUAAUUGGAAUGAGUACAAUUUAAAUCCCUUAACGAGAACAAAUUGGAGGGCAAGUCUGGGGGGCCAACACCAAA